GACAGAGGGGGCAAGCGUUGCUCGGAAUUACUGGGCGUAAAGGGCGCGUAGGCGGAAUGGCAAGUCGGUCGUGAAAUCCUUCGGCUCAACCGAAGAACGUCGAUCGAAACUGCCGUUCUUGAGGAUUGCAGAGGAGACUGGAAUUCCCGGUGUAGCGGUGAAAUGUGUAGAGAUCGGGAGGAACACCGGUGGCGAAGGCGGUUGCCUGGAGCUUUGCUGACGCUGAGGCGCGAAAGCGUGGGGAGCGAUCCGG
rnacentral:rRNA from 1 species